AUUGAACGCUGGCGGAAUGCUUUACACAUGCAAGUCGAACGGUAGAGGGGGCAACCCCUCGAGAGUGGCGAACGGGUGAGUAAUAUAUCGGAACGUGCCCAGUCGUGGGGGAUAACGUAGCGAAAGUUACGCUAAUACCGCAUACGAUCUAAGGAUGAAAGCGGGGGAUCGCAAGACCUCGCGCGAUUGGAGCGGCCGAUAGCGGAUUAGGUAGUUGGUGGGGUAAAGGCUCACCAAGCCAACGAUCUGUAGCUGGUCUGAGAGGACAACCAGCCACACUGGAACUGAGACACGGUCCAGACUCCUACGGGAGGCAGCAGUGGGGAAUUUUGGACAAUGGACGCAAGUCUGAUCCAGCCAUUCCGCGUGCAGGAUGAAGGCCCUCGGGUUGUAAACUGCUUUUGUACGGAACGAAAAGGUCUCUCUUAAUACGGGGGGCUUAUGACGGUACCGUAAGAAUAAGCACCGGCUAACUACGUGCCAGCCGCCGCAGUAA
rnacentral:rRNA from 1 species